rnacentral:rRNA from 1 species
CAAUAGCGUAUAUUAAAGUUGUUGCGGUUAAAAAGCUCGUAGUUGGAGUUCUGCCAGGUGCCGCCUGUCCGCCCCAGUGGUGAGUACGUGGCGCGCAUUUGGCCCUUUCAAGGGGAGCGUAUCUGCACUUUAUUGUGUGGCGCGGGAUCCUUGACUUUUACUUUGAGGAAAUAGGAGUGUUCCAAGCAGGCUCUCGUCGUGCACAGCUCAGCAUGGAAUAAUAGCAUUGGACCUCGAUUCUAAGCUGUUGGUUGCCAGAAGCGAGGUAAUGAUGAAGAGGGAUAGUUGGGGGCAUUCGUAUUUAACUGUCAGAGGUGAAAUUCUUGGAUUUGUUAAAGGCGGACUACUGCGAAAGCAUCUGCCAUGGAUGUUUUCAUUGA